rnacentral:rRNA from 1 species
UACAGAGGUCUCAAGCGUUGUUCGGAUUCAUUGGGCGUAAAGGGUGCGUAGGCGGCGCGGUAAGUCGGGUGUGAAAUCUCGGAGCUUAACUCCGAAACUGCAUUCGAUACUGCCGUGCUUGAGGACUGGAGAGGAGACUGGAAUUUACGGUGUAGCGGUGAAAUGCGUAGAUAUCGUAAGGAAGACCAGUGGCGAAGGCGAGUUUCUGGACAGUUACUGACGCUGAGGCAAGAAGGCCAGGGGAGCAAACGGG